rnacentral:miRNA from 1 species
AAUAUCAUGUAAAUUGA